rnacentral:rRNA from 1 species
CAUGUCCUUUUGACUAUAAUUUAAGGUCUAAUCUGCUCAAUGAGUAUUAUUAAAUUGCCGCGGUAUUUUGACCGUGCAAAGGUAGCAUAAUAAUUAGUUUUUUUAUUGAAAGCUGGAAUGAAUGAUUGGACGAGAAAAUAGCUGUCUCUUGAUAAUUUUUUAUUGAAUUUAAUUUUUGAGUUAAAAAGCUCAAAUUUUUUUUAAAGACGAGAAGACCCUAUAGAGUUUAAUAUUUUUAGUAUUUUUAAUUUUUUGGAAUUUUCAAUUUUUUAAUUAUUAAAUUUAUUUAGUUGGGGUGACUUAAAGAUUUAAUUAACUCUUUUAUAUCUAGAUCAUUGAUUUAUGAAUAUUUAACCUAAUUUUUUUAAAGUUAAGAAUAAUUACCUUAGGGAUAACAGCGUAAUUUCUUUUGAAAGUUCUUAUUUAAAAAGAAGUUUGCGACCUCGAUGUUGGAUUAAAAUUUAUUUUUGGCGCAGAAGCUUUACAAUUAGGUCUGUUCGACCUUUAAAAUUUUACAUGAUCUGAGU